rnacentral:rRNA from 1 species
UACGUAGGGGGCGAGCGUUGUCCGGAUUUAUUGGGCGGAAAGAGCUCGUAGGCGGUUCGAUAAGUCGGAUGUGAAAGCUCCCGGCUCAACUGGGAGAGGUCCUUGGAUACUGGCAGACUUGAGGGAGGUAGAGGAGAGUGGAAUUCCCGGUGUAGUGGUGAUAUGCGUAGAUAUCGGGAGGAACACCGGUGGCGAAGGCGGCGAUCUGGGUAGAUACUGACGCUGAGGUGCGAAAGCGUGGGGAGCAAACAGG